AGCCCCGUAGGGUAGUGGACAAUCCUGUCGGGCUUUGGACCCGGCGACGCAGGUUCGAAUCCUGCCGGGGCUA
rnacentral:tRNA from 1 species